ensembl:lncRNA
AGUAGGUGUAGUGCUGAAGUAACACUGAAGAGAACAAGUCUUUAUGUAGUGAAGAAGUGGGUUUAAAAAACAGCGCUAGGUAAUUCAGAUGCCUAAGAUUUGAUUUGUGCAGUUAAGAGCAUGGUGCCAGUUUUAGCAGUUCCAUUUUAGCAAUAUGCAUCACAAAGUCUCUGUAACUUUUCUUUUGCAUUGCAGAGGCAGAACAGCAUUUUAACAUGCCCAGUCACUUUUUGAGAGAGAAUACCUGUAAAGGAAUGAGGCACAGUUGGAAAGACCGCAGUUCAGAUGACGGACUGAAGAGAGCUGGGAAAAAUCUCAGCAGAUGGCUAAAAGAAGAUUGUAAUCAUAGCUUGCCAGCCUGAUUCAGACAGAGUUGCAAAACAACAGUCCCAAACGCAGACUGUUGCUCUUUCUGAUUAUCUCACCACAAAGAAAUUGGAGAGAUCUGUUUCUUCUGCCUUCUGAUGCCACUUGAACUUUCCAAGAUCUAUCUUAAUUUUGGAGCUUUAUAAAGACACUGAGUCUGAGCCUUACAAGCUUUUUGAGUAAAUCACUGAUAAAUCUCUCAACUUCUUUGUUUCUUUGGGGAUCUAGUUUUUCUUCUAAAACUGGUAUCAGGCUAAUAAUUGCAUGUUAUCUAAAGAAUCUAGUCCAAUGUGAUAUACGUGCCAUUCCAACAGUAAUCUAACAGGCAGCACAUUUCAAGUGGACAUUGCAAAAGUCUAUUCCACAAGAGGAAACAAAUUCUUUUUGCUAUGACCACAAAGCUUAAACCUUAUGAAUGCAGCUCCAAAUAGAAGACAAGCUGAAUAGAAACGACUGGGGAAGAGCAAUACAUAUGGUUGAUUUAAAGUCUUUUUAAAAGGUAUCUGCAAGAAGGUGUGCAAUGAAAAUAUGAUCAAAAUGCCAUGUAUUCUGAAAACAUUCGGUGCCAAAUGCAACUUAGACAGUACUGAAAAUGGAGAUUCAGUAGGAAGACUUGAGCAUCAUGCAGGCAUCAUACAAAAAAAAAGUGGAAAAAAAAAAAUUGUAGUCUAGAAAGAAGGAAUACAAAAGAUCUUUUCUUCCACUUUACCAGAGCAUGAAGUGCUGUCCCUAGAACACCAAUGAAUGGACAACGUGGCAUCCACAGAACUCAGGGAGUAAAGUUCUGUAAUGCAGUAUGAAAUCAUCUGGUUUUAUCCCGUUUACUCAAACCAGGUAAAAAUGAAAUUUAAUAAUAAAAUAAAAUAAAACAAAAUAAAACAAAACAAAAUACAAAUAAAAUACAGAUUGUAAAGAUUCAAAUAAUAUUUUCUGCUGCCAGUUGAGGUACUUGGUCUCUACCGUUGCACCUGAAGCCAAAUGUAGUUGAUUUUGGUUUAAUUUGCUCUGCAGGCAGGAGUACUUGAUUUUAUAUCUUCCUACCUGUGUCAUACCAGUUUAAGAGCACUCCGCUCUCAGUCUCAGACAGGAAUCUUUUCUUCCUAACAUUUUUCAUCACUGCGGGCAGUAAAAUCUGAUUAUUUAUAAGGGUGAUGGAGUGCUCUGGCAACCAGCUGCUGCAGCUUCAUGUCAAGUACAAGAGAAAUUGUUUGGAAAAGCUCCGAGAAAUACAUAGAGAAACUUCUGCUAGCAUGAACACCUGACAACAUUUAAAACACUUCCCCAAAAGACAAAUGGUUAAAGGAAAACUUCACUGUAGUCAUGUAAUAACAAAGCGGAGAUCUAAGAAGAAAAUGUCUGAAGUCAUCCAUAUAGGUGGAGAAAAUGAACUGCAUUCAAAUGGAAAUAUUGGGAGCAAACAAUUUUCUAACAAGCAAGCUGGUUCUAGCUAAUGCAACCGCAGUCAGCUGAGCUCUCCUGAGGACAGAGGGGAAUGAGUCCCCUCAGUGAGGUGGGGCAAAACAAAAAAGUUCAAAUGGAGGUCAUAGCAACUUUUUGAUACCGCAGUGCAGGUUGCAGCCUGUGUUUGAGAAAAGCACAGCUCAGCAUGGGAAAAAGCGAUGCAAAGGCUGCCCUACACUGCUUUGAUCUUCAGCUGACCAAAUGAUCCCAUCUUGCCCUCCAGCAUAUGGAGCUCUCUGGGAUAUGAUCCCGCAGGCUUUCAUAUUGGCUUGGAGGUAAACUGAAAGCAGAUAGCGGUGUUAUCUAAGAGCUUUAAGGACACUUCCUGACUUCCCACAUGGCGUUACAUCCCUCUCUGCUUCAGUGGUGCUCUCCCCCUUGGCUCCAAGGACAUGAUAGCGACAAUGAGGAAAACAAGGACAUAUUAGAUGCCUGAUGAAAAUAUCAACAGUGCAGUAUGGGCGGAGGGGAGAGCAAAAUCUGUAGAAUGUUGUCCCCUUGUAAAGCUGCAGCAAAAACAAGAAGUUCAAAUGAAGGCUACAGAACAAUUUUUUCUCUUCAGGGGGGUAGCUUGGAGGUAGUGUAAGUGGCAAAAUCCUUUCACCUUAAAAUGAGGGUUUGAUUCCAGCCCAACAUGCACCAGGCUGAUGAGCCUGAAGGAGAGGAUGAAAUUUCCUCUAGCUCAUUGAUCCACUGAGAGUUUUACUUGCCAAGGAAUGAGAAACCCUAGUUAUUCUUUCAAAGGGAUCUGUACUAUUAUGCUGUUUUGAUAUGAAACAGGUUGUAAGUAUGCAAGCUAGCCAAACUUUACUACAGAAAUACUCUUGAUUUCUCUCAAAGGAGAUUAUUUUCCUAAAUGAGGCUCCUAUAAUCACUACAGUAUGAGCAGAAACAAUCAAAUUCUGCCCCUUACACAGCACAGAAUGACAUCGCAGUGGUAAAAUACUACAAUGCGAGCAAUUAUUUUUCAUCAUUACAUUGGCUGUAAUACUCUGUACAUUACAAUGAAUUUGCAGAAAAUAUAGUCGAAAAUUUAAGUUCAAAGAUUAACAUCAGAGUACCAUUUGUUUUGUCCCUGCAGUUUUUGAUUAAUGGAGAUUGUUAAUUCAUACUGCCUCUUGGUUGAUAGUGGAGAGGUUCAUUCAUUCCACUGUCUUGAAUUUAAAUUUAGACUGCUUAUAUGUGUUCAUAUUUUCAAUUUAUAUUAUUACAUCCACUUCUGCUCUAUUCUUUGUUCAUUAGGGACCUCUGAACACCAGCUUGAGGAAGUUCUGUUAAAUGAAUCGCAUGCCCUUUGCAAGAGCUCUUUGAAUGACAUGUGUAAUUAUCAACAAUUAACAAGAUGCUAAUUAUACCUUCAAAUUAUAAUCCUACUGAGCAAAAUAAAAAUCCUUUAUGGAAGAAAAAAUUGUUAAAGACACAACACUAUAUUAAACCAAAUGACAAAAAGUUUGGCAACUUCUAAUGGUAUAAAUCAAACAAACUGCUGAACACAUCACACAGCUUGCCAGAAUGGCUCUCUGCCAAUUAGCUCUUCAGUGCAUAUUCAGUAAGGUGGGGGGAGGGUAAUGUAGAAAAAUGAAGGAGGAAGGGAAUUUAACAGACAUG